rnacentral:rRNA from 1 species
UCCUACGGGAGGCAGCAGUGGGGAAUUUUCAGCAAUGGGCGAAAGCCUGAGGGAGCAACGCCGCGUGAGGGAAGAAGGCCUAUGGGCCGUUACCUUAUUGCCCACACCCACGGGAGAAGCCUGUACGCAGCAACGCCGCGUGUAGGGAAGAAGGCCUCUGGGCUGUAAACCUCUUUUCUCAAGGAAGAAGAUCUGACGGUACUUGAGGAAUAAGCCACGGCUAAUUCCGUGCCAGCAGCCGCGGUAAU